AGUGAACGCUGGCGGUAGGCCUAACACAUGCAAGUCGAACGGCAGCACAGUAAGAGCUUGCUCUUACGGGUGGCGAGUGGCGGACGGGUGAGGAAUACAUCGGAAUCUACUUUUUCGUGGGGGAUAACGUAGGGAAACUUACGCUAAUACCGCAUACGACCUACGGGUGAAAGCAGGGGAUCUUCGGACCUUGCGCGAUUGAAUGAGCCGAUGUCGGAUUAGCUAGUUGGCGGGGUAAAGGCCCACCAAGGCGACGAUCCGUAGCUGGUCUGAGAGGAUGAUCAGCCACACUGGAACUGAGACACGGUCCAGACUCCUACGGGAGGCAGCAGUGGGGAAUAUUGGACAAUGGGCGCAAGCCUGAUCCAGCCAUACCGCGUGGGUGAAGAAGGCCUUUGGGUUGUAAAGCCCUUUUGUUGGGAAAGAAAAGCAGCAGGUUAAUACCCCGCUGUUCUGACGGUACCCAAAGAAUAAGCACCGGCUAACUUCGCG
rnacentral:rRNA from 1 species